UGUUUUUACAUUUGGACAAAAGCAAAGGACCACUUCAUCAGACCCUUAACAAUGCAGGGUGUCCGACUUCCAAGAGGCCUUAUUUACAGUUGAUUGCAGUUGGAAAAUAUUCUUACUGCUUCUAGCAUUUGUGUCAACCUCAAGGAAUAAACCCAGAUGUCACUUUUAUUUCCUUCAGUAAUAUUUUUUUUCAUUGACCCUUUUCCAGGGCACAGCCAUUUCUGGCAUCUUCCAUCUUCCUUUGUAGACCUGAAGGCAAAGGAUUUGUUUAACUUUCAGCAGUGUUUACUGCUCCUGACGGUAAAUGGUCCUUGCCUUUUCUUCUUGGGCCGGAGUCGUCUUCUUGCCAACGUUUUACUUUGUAUGUAUUGGAAACUGUGCUUAUUUUGUCAGAUCCCCUGAGUAAUCUUUCCCCACCUUUGUUUAUCUUGUCAUUUGGCUUUCAUUUCCUUAACCCAUUCCUGGACUCAAUCUGCUUGUGAUUCUUUGGUUUUGAUUUUUGCCCUUCUCUGUUUUGAGGCUUUUAAAAUUGCACUUCAUUCUUAAAG
rnacentral:lncRNA from 1 species